rnacentral:rRNA from 1 species
GGGGGGGGGGGGGGGGGGGGGGGGGGGGGGGGGGGGGGGGGGGGGGGCGCGGCGUGGGGGGGGUGCGCGGGGGGGGAGCGGGGGAGGGACGCGGGAGUAACCUGGCCGUGGCUGUGGGAUGACUUCAGGAAACUGGGGCGAAUACCGGAGAGGGGCUCCUGCUGCGUGGUGGGGGUUGGAAAGUUUCGGCGUUUGGGGCUGGGCGCGCGGCUUAUCAGCUUGUUGGUGGGGUAGUGGCUUACCAAGGCUUUGACGGGUAGCCGGCCUGAGAGGGUGACCGGCCACAUUGGGACUGAGAUACGGCCCAGACUCCUACGGGAGGCAGCAGUGGGGAAUAUUGCACAAUGGGCGGAAGCCUGAUGCAGCAACGCCGCGUGCGGGAUGACGGCCUUCGGGUUGUAAACCGCUUUCGCCUGUGACGAAGCGUGAGUGACGGUAAUGGGUAAAGAAGCACCGGCUAACUACGUG